rnacentral:lncRNA from 1 species
GCCAAGGUUUUGCUAAAUUGAAACACGACUGUACACAGCUCCUAAACUGGAGUGGUCAAUCCCAUCUUGACACACGCACCGACAAGUCAAGUACUUGACUACACCCAGCAGCCUUCUAUCACUGAAUUAAAAAUUUAGGUAGUCCAGUGCCUAAGUGCAGUGAGUUGCUUGCAAGUCACCGUGGCGGUCUCAGGUCGGAGGGAUAUUUAUACCCAUAUUCCAUCGGAGCAAAUCUUGACAGCAAAAAU